CUGCCAAGGGCAUGGCUGGGUAGCUAUGUACGGAAUGGAUAAGCGCUGAAAGCAUCUAAGCGCGAAGCCAACUUCAAGAUAAGAUUUCCCACCGCAAGGGUAAGACCCCAGAAAGACUAGCUGGUUGAUAGGUCGAAGGUGUAAGUGCAGCAAUGUAUUUAGCUUAUCGAUACUAAUAGGUCGAGGACUUGACCAAU
rnacentral:rRNA from 1 species